rnacentral:sRNA from 1 species
CAGCAUUAAAGAGUUAUUCCGCACGAGAUUUCGAAGAGACGUGGUACUUGGGUCAUGCUAUUUACAUAACCGCUUCGAAGGAAUUUCCACUUGUAGAUAUCCGUCAUUAUGGAAAACUUAAGAAAUCGUGUUAACAUAAAUCUUGUACACACGGAGCAAAGUCUUAAAAAGUUGUGUGCCAAGCUCUCUUUUGAUCGCUUCAAAAUCUUCAGCAACGAUUUAGUGGGAGUAGAAAACAAGAAAGUCAAGCUUCUGUUAAAUAAACCUGUUUAUAUUGGACACACUAUACUAGAUCUAUCAAAACUGGUUAUGUACGACUUUCACUACAACUUUAUGAAAAAACUAUAUGAAGACAACAUCAAACUUUUAUUUACGGAUACUGAUAGUCUAAUGUAUGAGAUUGAAACGCCAAACCUCAACGAGGAUAUCGUUAAAUACAAGAGCAUGUUCGACCUAUCCAACUACCCUGUAGAUCACCCACUUCACGACGAUACCAAUAAGAAAACUGCUCAAAUUCAAGAACGAGACAGCAGGUGUUCCGGUACAAGAAUUCGUGGGGCUGCGUCCAAAGAUGUAUUCCUUGCUGUUAAACAACGGGGAUGAGAAGAAAACGGCUAAGGGAGUGUCGAAAUCUGUCAUUAAAAAUCAGUUAAACAUUCAUUGUAUAGAGACUGUUUGCUGAACAGAUCCAAAUGUAACCACGCUGUGACUCUCAUUCGUAGUGACAACCACGAACUGUAUUGUGAUAAAAUCAACAAAACCUCGUUAUCGUGUUUCGAUGAUAAACGAUUUGUAAAGUCUUGCGGUGUAGAGACUUUGGCUUACGGACACUUUGAUAUAGAAACUCUAAACAUUUUAAAAGAUUUAUUCUGUAGCUAAAUUAUGCAUACAUUGUAUAAAGGUACAAAAGAUUAUCAGCAAGAGAGGAAACGAUUAUUUGAAUACUUUUAUAUAUGCCUGGAUAUUUUGCCUCUUUCCUAUUAUCAUAUAUUUGGACAUAUUUGUAGUCCCCUUGAUAUUUCACUAUCACCGGCUUUUCUCUUCCAAAAGUUUUAGCCAAUUGCUUCAGUGUAUUAUUAAACUCAGUAACGUGAUGCACGUUUUCGCACUCGCUCAUGAUGAUAGAACGUGUUUUUUCAACAACUUUGUAAAUUGGAAGGGACGAUAUUAAGAAUUUCUAUGUAUUUAUAACACCAAGCAAAAAAUAUCGUUGGUUAAAUUGUGUGGGAUAGGGUGGAGCAUGUAUUAAGAGUGCUUGUUUCGACGACGCUAAGUCAGGAUAUGUACACAUCGAUGUCCGAACCGUAUAUACACAAAGCAUUUUACCUUUGUGGCCGCUAGCGGGUAAGACCCCAAAGACACUUGAAUUUCUAUACAGCAAAACUUAACGUAACAAUAGCAGACCAUUAGCGUAUUUGAAAUUGCGUAAUAUUACCUACGGCUUUGUUAUUAAAUCCAUGGUACAAAUUACUAAAUGAAAUUAGCAGUACUAUUGUUAACUUUUACAUGGUUUGAUCUUUAAAUAAAGCCAUUUG